CUGCUGUUGCUGCCGCCGCUGGAGUCGCUCCUGCAGGCCUGCCAGCCUCCGUCCACACGCUGGUUCACCAUGACGGCGGACAAAGCUGGAACAGUCAGACAACCGCGACCGGAGACGGAUUUAAGACAAAGGACGCAUACAGAGCAGCAAGUGAACGCCACGCAGCAGCAGAGCAGACCGACUAAACUUAGUUGAACAGGGUCUCUGUAGCCGUUGAUGAAGCCCUCUGUACACAUGCAGAUAUCCACCUGAAUCCUUUCUUCCUCCACAAAAGACAAGAUCUCUCAGACUGUGUGACGCUUCCGUCUGAGGAGGCCCAGUUUUCGACUAUUUCAAUGUUCUAAUGCUAAUAUAACAGACUAUUUUUUUAUCCAUCUUUGUUGUUAAGUGUUGAAACGAGACGUUUCAUCUGGAGGAGGGGGACGUUUGUUUAUAUUCAAAUUCAGAACACAGAUGACAUACACAUAAAGAAUAACAAAGAAAAUUACAGUGUACAUCAAUUGCUCAAAGUAAAAGCUGGGGGGGGGGGGGAUGCAUAAAAAAAAAAUUAUAAUAAAUUAUAAAGCUGAACAAAAUUACAUGUUUUAAUUGCUUUUUUUGUUUGGAGUGGAGAAAUAGAAUGCAAGUAAAAUCUAAUUUGGGCCCCCAAAAAAUUGGGAGCUUUAUUGGUAAAUUGAGUUUUGUGAAUAUAAUACUUGGUAAGUAAAUCAGGAGAUUUAUUGAGACGAAAGUUUAGUAUCAUAAGUAAUAAAACCAAAUAAGAUGUUUUUCCACGUUGAAGUAAAUGUGGAUAAAUGUUAGUUGUUUUUUUUUUUACUUGUCCUGUCCAACAGCUGAGCAGACAGAUGAGAGC